CCUGGCUGACUUUGUGUUUUAUAACAGGAAAAAAAAUCAUUGGGGGGCCAGAGACGGACGGCACCGCGGACACUUUUAUUGCACCUAUCCGCGGGCUCUAAUUGUGUGUUUGGACGACAAGACAAGAGUGCAGACAUUAA
ensembl:ncRNA F44E5.9 ncRNA